UAGGGAAUCUUCCGCAAUGGNCGAAAGUCUGACGGAGCAACGCCGCGUGAGCGAAGAAGGUCUUCGGAUCGUAAAGCUCUGUUGUUAGGGAAGAACAAGUAUCGGAGGAAAUGCCGGUACCUUGACGGUACCUGACGAGAAAGCCACGGNUAACUACGUG
rnacentral:rRNA from 1 species